GUCUACGGCCAUGCCACCCUGAACAAGCCCGAUCCCGUCUGAUCUCGGAAGCUAAGCAGGGUGGGGCCUGGUUAGUACUUGGAUGGGAGACCACCUAGGAAGACCAGGUGCUGUAGGUG
rnacentral:rRNA from 1 species